UACGUAGGAUGCAAGCGUUGUCCGGAAUUAUUGGGCGUAAAGAGCGCGCAGGCGGUAUGACAAGUCAGAUGUGAAAGAGGCCGGCUUAACCGGCAAGGGUCAUUUGAAACUGUCAGACUAGAGUGCAGCAGAGGAUAGUGGAAUUCCCGGUGUAGUGGUGAAAUGCGUAGAUAUUCGGAAGAACACCAGUGGCGAAGGCGACUCACUGGCCCGAUACUGACGCUGAGGCGCGAAAGCGUGGGGAGCAAACAGG
rnacentral:rRNA from 1 species